CCUACGGGGGGCAGCAGUAGGGAAUAUUGCUCAAUGGGGUAAACCCUUACGCAGCAACGCCGCGUGGAGGAUGACGGUUUUCGGAUUGUACACUCCUUUUGUUAGAGAAGAUAAUGACGGUAUCUAACGAAUAAGCACCGGCUAACUCCGUGCCAGCAGCCGCGGUAAUACGUAGGGUGCAAGCGUUACUCGGAAUCACUGGGCGUAAAGAGCGCGUAGGCGGGAUCGAAAGUCCGUUGGAAAUUCCUAUGGCUAAACCAUAGAAUGGCAUUUGAAACUGUUAUUCUGAGUAAUGGAGGGGGAAGGGGAAAUUGUGGGGGAAGGGGGAAAUUCGG
rnacentral:rRNA from 1 species